UACGUAGGGUGCAAGCGUUGUCCGGAAUUAUUGGGCGUAAAGAGCUCGUAGGCGGUCUGUCGCGUCUGCUGUGAAAACCUAGGGCUUAACUCUGGGCGUGCAGUGGGUACGGGCAGGCUAGAGUGCGGUAGGGGAGACUGGAAUUCCUGGUGUAGCGGUGAAAUGCGCAGAUAUCAGGAGGAACACCGAUGGCGAAGGCAGGUCUCUGGGCCGAUACUGACGCUGAGGAGCGAAAGCGUGGGGAGCGAACAGG
rnacentral:rRNA from 1 species